rnacentral:rRNA from 1 species
UAGGGAAUCUUCGGCAAUGGACGGAAGUCUGACCGAGCAACGCCGCGUGAGUGAAGAAGGUUUUCGGAUCGUAAAGCUCUGUUGUAAGAGAAGAACGAGUGUGAGAGUGGAAAGUUCACACUGUGACGGUAUCUUACCAGAAAGGGACGGCUAACUACGUGCCAGCAGCCGCGGUAAUACGUAGGUCCCGAGCGUUGUCCGGAUUUAUUGGGCGUAAAGCGAGCGCAGGCGGUUAGAUAAGUCUGAAGUUAAAGGCUGUGGCUUAACCAUAGUACGCUUUGGAAACUGUUUAACUUGAGUGCAAGAGGGGAGAGUGGAAUUCCAUGUGUAGCGGUGAAAUGCGUAGAUAUAUGGAGGAACACCGGUGGCGAAAGCGGCUCUCUGGCUUGUAACUGACGCUGAGGCUCGAAAGCGUGGGGAGCAAACAGGAUUAGAUACCCUGGUAGUCCACGCCGUAACGAUGAGUGCUAGGUGUUAGACCCUUUCCGGGGUUUAGUGUCGCAGCUAACGCAUUAAGCACUCCGCCUGGGGAGUACGACCGCAAGGUU